CACGGCGGUAGCGGACCUGAAGGCGAUUGGUCCAGAGUCACCGAAGACUCGAGUCACCGUAGACUCCGAGUCAGAACGCGCGGCUGUCUACAGUCUUACAACGACGAAAUAUAAAUAUACAGGAUUGGAUUCGGUCGGUUUUUUGGUCUGGUUGAAUCCUUCGAGAACUUUGUUUAUCAUCGUUCGGCUGCACGUAGCCAGUGCACCGAAUGGACGCUAGAUGGCGCGCCGAGCCCACAUUUGAGAGCCAACCGCUGGAGCUGGAGCUGGAGCUGGGCUCUUCCUCUGUCUGCUCGCCCGCUGAGUGAGGGCCUCUGGCUAGUGUUAUUGGGGACGAGCCCAAGUCUUUAAAGGAGGCCUUCAAGAUGCCUGAAAGGAGAGAGAGGACACGUACCACAGAUUAUGUCUUUUAACUGGCAGUUGUGCCAAUGUUGUCCACCCCAGACAUGCCUGCUGGAAGGCUUGGUGAGGCGGAAUGAAAGGACCAUGUACCUGUAGAGCGACCAGAGAUGGUGCUGUCCUUUCACAGCGUACGCCUGCUGCAAAGUACGAGUGGUUAUCACUCUGGACGUGAUCUGGACGCUCCAGCAUUCAGCUAAGUAUUCACGGCUAUACACGUCAUUAUAAACGCAUGCUCAGUAUUUUUACCUUUGGCUGCACUGUCUUGUAGUGUGUUUGCUUUGUAUUGCUAAAUAAACACUGUGCAUUUAUUAAA